AUAUUUAUCUGGCAGGGGAGACAGACACCAUGACCGCACAGGUGGUUUUCCCAGAAUGUGACUCAUCCAUUACACUUCCACGAUGCUGACCCCUGUGAUAUCCACAAAUAUGGGAAACUCAAAUGCAUAAUUUGUGGUUAGUAAUGUCAUUUUUGAAAUCUUUCC